CAAAACUCCUUGAAAACACAGGGCUACCCUUAGUCAGAACAUAAGUUCUGCAGUUUAUUUCACUCCCUUCUGUAGUUUCAGGAAGAUUUUUCUUCCACACACCUCCUCUUCUCACACAGAAAUACUGCAACCAUGAUAACAAAAAAGGAAAACAUUUGGUUUUGGCAGCAUUCCAAUGAAAUGAGAAAAUUUGGCGUCUGUGAAGUUUUUGUGAAGGUAUUCAGCAAUGCCAUACUGACAGCCUGCUUUAGAUAUGCAGAGUGAAACAGCUGGUGACCUGCCAUCAGGAACGCUAGUCAAUUAACUGCUUCAUUUUUUUUCCAGUCAAAUCUACAGGCAGUAAUGUCCAGGAGCUUAUUUCUUUCAUCUAUUACUCUCUGCCAGAUUAUAUCAAAGUUGCCAUAUUCUACCAACGAAAUUUUAUCCAAAUUCUAGUGAGCAAAACUAGAAAUAUGUUCCACCUGGCAAUGUGCACUGAGACAAAUUGGAUUGAACUGCUGGCAGUUAUUCUUCAGUAAUCCCAGUAAGAUUGCACAAGAGAACAGCCUAAGAAAACUGGAAUAUGUUGUACCUCAUUAACCAUUCCUCUUAUCAAGACUCUGCUGCCUGCCUUCUCCUAAACAGAUACCCCUCCAGCUCUGGGUGGAAUCCUGAAUGUGAUUAUUUCUAUUGAAUUCAAAAUAAUAAACUGCACACCAGUGACAUUCAUCAGAGAGGAGGACCAUUUGAGUCAACACUGGAGAGAAUAAUGCCCUUCACCUUUGAAUCCAAAGCUGCAUGGAUAUGGAGUGCCAUAAAAGCCACUAACUGCUUAAGUCAGAAGUUUGACAGAAGAAUUCUGAAGACUUUAAAAUGCUGAAAAGAAGCAUCCUGUGCAGCCAGCUGAAUGGUGAGGUGAUAAAAGAUUGAACCAAAUUUGCUGGAGCACAAAGGAAAAUCAGAAGCCUGCAGCUCAGUGAUAACUAUGGAAACUGAUACAUGGUCCAUCAUCUGUAGAUCACCAGAAUAUGUAUUCAGAAGUUACAGUGAGAAAAUAUAGUAGGAGACGAUGCACUUCAUAGCACAGCUGAUUUUCUUUUCAUUAUUAGAUUAAAACAUUAUUGAUUUGAUACACCUAAAUUACGCAUGUCGUAUUAAAGGCAUUCGAAUAAAGAACUGCUGCUACUAAAUGAAAGCUGUGGUUGAAUUCAUAUUUUUAAAAGGAAGUCAGAGAAUAUCGACUUCAA